rnacentral:misc_RNA from 1 species
GUUAGUGCCAAAAGAGCAAAGGGAGGUGCAAGGGAUGUGUAUCUCAGCGUUAUGGAAAUAUUUUUAUCAGUACACCUUUGUAUAAUAUUAAUAUUUAGGUGAUUGAAAUAUGAGGAGUCUGUGAAAUAAGCGUGUGUUGUUGUGAUUUAUAUUAAAGACUAUGACCAUGAUGAUUCCCGUUGAGGGAACAGAAGGUGCUGACGAUCCACCCAUGUGCGUAUCGGAUUACCAUAGACAAUAUCGAGUACUAAGACAAAUAGCGAAUGGAGCCUUUGGAAGUGUCCACUGUGUUCAACGAAGAGACACAAAAGUAAUUCAUGCUGCUAAAUAUGUGAAAUGCUGUCACUCUGAUGUUGAAAGAGAGGUCCAUGCCCUUCGAUCUUUGAGUAAAUCCCGUCUCAUUCUUCAAUUUGUUGGUUUUUAUACUCAGGAAAAAAAUGGAAUUCAAUCUGUACUCGUGACUGAGUUUCUUGCAGGCGGGGACUUGUUUGAAAGGACUUCUGCCUCCGACUAUGUUCUUACUGAGUACAAAUGUCGAACAAUUGUUCGGCAAAUCCUCAGAGGAGUCCAAUUCAUGCACUCAAAAAACUUUAUUCAUUUAGACCUAAAACCCUUCAACGUUGUCUUUUCUAAGAAAAAAGAUGACUUUGAUCUAAGAAUAAUUGACUUUGGAUUGGCAAAAGAUCUAGGGGAUCACUCGAAAAUAAAAAUUGGAAUGUGCGGCACAAUUGAGUACAUGUCUCCUGAAGUCAUGAACUGUUCAUACGCUUCUCCUCAAUCGGAUAUGUGGGGAGUAGGUGUGAUUGCUUACAUGCUUGUUUCUGGAGGUCUUUCCCCUUUCUUUGCUAUAAAUCGGUUCCGUACAAUGGCACGAGUUAUAGACUGUGAUUAUUCUCUGGAUGUCCCUGAGCUGAAUAAAGUUUCAGAUGAGGCCAAAUCCUUUAUUUCGGGCCUUUUAGUGAAAAAUCCCUCAAAUAGACUUAAUGGUGAUCAAGCAUUGAGUCAUAUUUGGCUCCGGGAUGAUAAUCUAUACUUAGGAAUCAUUGAGACUCUGGAGACAACUUGGAUGCGUCGUUGUCUAGCUCGCCGCCGAUGGUAUAGACUUAUGAAUGCAGUGAGGGUCAUGAGAUCUAUUAAGUCCCUUAAGUCGUCCUCUUCGAAUUGUCUGCCUUCUACACCAACCCGAUUGUUAAGUACACCAAAGUCAAGGAGAAGAAAUGGAAGUAGUAAUAAGUCCAGUGUAGAUUCUAGCAUUGACGAUGAUGAUGAACUAGAUGAAGACGAAGAGGAAGCGAAAUCCUAUCAUUUUGCCAAAAGUUUAAUGCCCAAAGGUCUUCCAAUGCAUCGUAUUUCUAAUUACAGACAAACUUUUCUCAAACUACAUUUAAUAGUUAACAAUGGAUCCUUUGGAACUAUUUUCUGUGUUCAACAUUCAAUUCGUUCAAAUGAAAUCUACGCUUCAAAGGAAGUUCGACACUCUCUUGAAUCCGUACGUAGAGAAGCCAAUAUACUCCAUCAGCUUCGAAAUUGUAAUAAAAUUCUAACUUUAUAUGGUUUAUAUGAAAAAAUAAGUCGGAAUUUAUCUGUUCUUGUCACUGAUUAUUUAACUGGAGGCGAUCUUGUGGAACGAACAUCCGAGUCAGACUUUGUUUUAAAUGAAUCAAAAUGCAAGACUAUAGUGAAACAAAUUUGUGUUGGCCUUGAAUUUGUACAUUUUAGUCGAAUUCUUCAUAUGGAUUUAAAGCCUUUUAGUGUUUUCUUCGUAUCCAAAGAGAAUAAUGUUGAGGUCAAAAUCGCGGAUUUUUGUUUAGCUAAAAAGAUAUCUAGCACAGAUGGUCGUAUUAAAAUAGAUUCACUAUGCGGCUCCCUGGAAUUUAUUUCUCCAGAAGUCCUUGAGUGUUCCUAUGCUAGUUACGCAACGGAUAUGUGGGGAGUUGGGAUUAUUGCUUAUAUGUUGUUAACGGGAGGAAAGUCCCCCUUCUGGGGGGGAAAUCGCUUUCGCACAAUGGCUAAAAUCCUAGCUGGACAAUUUGAUGAUGUCUCAUUAAAGUCAUCGAAAUUCAUAUCACAAAAUGCCAAAGAUUUUAUCUAUGACUUACUUUUAAUCGAUCCCUACGAAAGGAUAUCAGCAGCUGCAUGUCUCGAGCAUCCCUGGCUUAAUUCGGAUUCAGACUGUGUGGAUACUUUACAAACACUCGAAACCAUUUGGAUGAAGCAAAUAUUAGCGAGAAGAAGAUGGCAGAGAUGGUUCAAUGCCGUAAGGGCCACAACACGGAUUCGGAAGUUCAGUUCUACCCUUGGAAAUGGUUCAAACUACGCCAUUAAUAAAAAUGGAACGAUACACGCUUCAACAACUCAUUGAAAUUAUAAAAAUCCUCUCUAAAAAUGGGAAAACCUGGCAGAGACUGUUAGUAAAACUAAUUUUUUUUUGGGUGGUCGUGAAGCACCUUGUCGGACCGUAAUACAGAAGUUGGUUAAAAAAAUUGGAGCUGUUUGGGCAGGUCAUUGAAGUGAAGAAUAAAACCCGUGCCAGUAGCUCAAGAACAAAUGAGACUAUUGCUGCUGUUGCACAAAGUGUUGAAGAAAAUCCAGUUUUGUCCUUUCAUCGUCGUUCUUUGCUUACCACAAGACAGAUGUUCUUGUUAAAGUGUUUUACUCCUCCACGCAUUUCAUCAUCUCAUCUCUCCCGGUCAUCCUGGAUUUAUUGGUUUAAAGAAUUGGAACCUCCUUACCUUCGUCAAGACGCAACAUUGACGACGAGGAUGGGAUCAGGAUCAUUUGACCUACCUGCUGUGGGAUCGUCGGCGAAGCUAGCCCUGUUGGAGUUGGGUAGUCCUUUUUCGUCGAUAGGGAGAACGCUUGUUCGUCUGCGGAAGGCAGAGCAAUAUGGACUGUGCCUCAGUUUGGGCCUCGUGGAGGAAGGAAGAGAACCUUGGUCACUUACAAGAAGUGAAGUGUGUGUCCGGGUCAGGGACCACAUAAUUAAAAGUG